AACGAACGCUGGCGGCAUGCCUAACACAUGCAAGUCGAACGAGACCUUCGGGUCUAGUGGCGCACGGGAGCGUAACGCGUGGGAACCUGCCCUUAGGUUCGGAAUAACUCCCCGAAAGGGGUGCUAAUACCGGAUAAUGUCUUCGGACCAAAGAUUUAUCGCCUUUUGAUGGGCCCGCGUUGGAUUAGCUAGUUGGUAGGGUAAAAGCCUACCAAGGCGACGAUCCAUAGCUGGUCUGAGAGGACGACCAGCCACACUGGGACUGAGACACGGCCCAGACUCCUACGGGAGGAAGCAGUGGGGAAUAUUGGACGAUGGGCGAAAGCCUGAUCCAGCAAUGCCGCGUGAGUGAUGAAGGCCUUAGGGUUGUAAAGCUCUGUUACCCGGGAUGAUAAUGACAGUACCGGGAGAAUAAGCUCCGGCUAACUCCGUG
rnacentral:rRNA from 1 species